rnacentral:rRNA from 1 species
AUUGAACGCUGGCGGCAUGCCUUACACAUGCAAGUCGGACGGAGUGGCGAACGGGAGAGUAACGCAUCGGAAAGUACCGAAUAAUGGGGGAUAACUGUCCGAAAGGACAGCUAAUACCGCAUACUAUCAGAUGAGCCUCGUUCGGAUUAGCUAGUGGGUGGGGUAAAGGCUUACCAAGGCGACGAUCCGUACCUGGUCUGAGAGGAUGAUCAGUCACACUGGAACUGAGACACGGUCCAGACUCCUACGGGAGUCAGCAGUGGGGAAUAUUGGACAAUGGGCGCAAGCCUGAUCCAGCCAUGCCGCGUGUGUGAAGAAGGCCUUCGGAUUGUAAAGUACUUUCAGCUGGGAGGCGUUACCCACAGAAUAAGCACCGGCUAACUCCGUGCCAGCAGCCGCGGUAAUAC